rnacentral:rRNA from 1 species
UGACGUCAAGUCCUCAUGGCCCUUAUGUCCAGGGCUACACACGUGCUACAAUGGCCGGUACAAAGAGUUGCGAUACCGCGAGGUGGAGCUAAUCUCAUAAAGCCGGUCUCAGUUCGGAUUGGAGUCUGCAACUCGACUCCAUGAAGUUGGAAUCGCUAGUAAUCGCGGAUCAGCAUGCCGCGGUGAAUACGUUCCCGGGCCUU